rnacentral:rRNA from 1 species
UACGGAGGGUGCGAGCGUUGUCCGGAAUCACUGGGCGUAAAGAGCGUGUAGGCGGCCUGAUAAGUCGGCUGUGAAAGUCAAGGGCUCAACCCUUGAAUGCCGGCCGAUACUGUCAGGCUAGAGUCCGGAAGAGGCGAGUGGAAUUCCUGGUGUAGCGGUGAAAUGCGCAGAUAUCAGGAGGAACACCUAUGGCGAAGGCAGCUCGCUGGGACGGUACUGACGCUGAGACGCGAAAGCGUGGGGAGCGAACAGG